rnacentral:rRNA from 1 species
AUUGAACGCUGGCGGAAUGCUUUACACAUGCAAGUCGAACGGCAGCACGGGUGCUUGCACCUGGUGGCGAGUGGCGAACGGGUGAGUAAUAUAUCGGAACGUAUCCAAGAAUGGGGGAUAACUAGCCGAAAGGUUAGCUAAUACCGCAUACGCCCUGAGGGGGAAAGCUGGGGAUCGUAAGACCUAGCGUUGAUGGAGCGGCCGAUAUCUGAUUAGCUAGUUGGUGGGGUAAGGGCCUACCAAGGCGACGAUCAGUAGCUGGUCUGAGAGGACAACCAGCCACACUGGAACUGAGACACGGUCCAGACUCCUACGGGAGGCAGCAGUGGGGAAUUUUGGACAAUGGGGGCAACCCUGAUCCAGCCAUUCCGCGUGAGUGAAGAAGGCCUUCGGGUUGUAAAGCUCUUUCGCAAGGGAAGAAAACUCGAUCUCUAAUAUAGGUUGAGGCUGACGGUACCUUGAUAAGAAGCACCGGCUAACUACGUGCCAGCCGCCGCUGUAA